UGAGGAGGAGCCAUCUGGCGAAGUCAGAGUAUGCAUAGCUCCGACGAACUGCCGCCGAACGAAUGUGAGGGGGCGUUACCUAU
rnacentral:sRNA from 1 species